rnacentral:rRNA from 1 species
AGUGAACGCUGGCGGCGUGCUUAACACAUGCAAGUCGAACGAGAACGGAUUAUAGCUUGCUAUAAUUGUCAGCUAAGUGGCGCACGGGUGAGUAAUGUAUAGGUAAUAUGCCUCUUGCUAAGGGAUAACAAAUGGAAACGUUUGCUAAUACCUUAUACUCCUUAUUAACAGAAGUUAAUAAGGGAAAGAUUUAUUGGUAAGAGAUUAGCCUGUAUUGUAUCAGUUAGUUGGUGGGGUAAUGGCUUACCAAGACUAUGACACAUAACUGGUUUGAGAGGAUGAUCAGUCACACUGGAACUGAGACACGGUCCAGACUCCUACGGGAGGCAGCGGUGGGGAAUAUUGCACAAUGGACGAAAGUCUGAUGCAGCAACGCCGCGUGGAGGAUGACACAUUUCGGUGCGUAAACUCCUUUUAUAUGAGAAGAUAAUGACGGUAUUAUAUGAAUAAGCACCGGCUAACUCCGUGCCAGCCGCCGCAGUAA